rnacentral:rRNA from 1 species
UGAGUUGCGAACGGGUGAGUAACGCGUAGGUAACCUGCCUGGUAGCGGGGGAUAACUAUUGGAAACGAUAGCUAAUACCGCAUAAUAUUGAUUAUUGCAUGAUAAUUGAUUGAAAGAUGCAACUGCAUCACUACCAGAUGGACCUGCGUUGUAUUAGCUAGUAGGUGAGGUAACGGCUCACCUAGGCGACGAUACAUAGCCGACCUGAGAGGGUGAUCGGCCACACUGGGACUGAGACACGGCCCAGACUCCUACGGGAGGCAGCAGUAGGGAAUCUUCGGCAAUGGACGAAAGUCUGACCGAGCAACGCCGCGUGAGUGAAGAAGGUUUUCGGAUCGUAAAGCUCUGUUGUAAGAGAAGAACGGGUGUGAGAGUGGAAAGUUCACACUGUGACGGUAUCUUACCAGAAAGGGACGGCUAACUACGUGCCAGCAGCCGCGGUAAUACGUAGGUCCCGAGCGUUGUCCGGAUUUAUUGGGCGUAAAGCGAGCGCAGGCGGUUAGAUAAGUCUGAAGUUAAAGGCUGUGGCUUAACCAUAGUACGCUUUGGAAACUGUUUAACUUGAGUGCAGAAGGGGAGAGUGGAAUUCCAUGUGUAGCGGUGAAAUGCGUAGAUAUAUGGAGGAACACCGGUGGCGAAAGCGGCUCUCUGGUCUGUAACUGACGCUGAGGCUCGAAAGCGUGGGGAGCGAACAGGAUUAGAUACCCUGGUAGUCCACGCCGUAAACGAUGAGUGCUAGGUGUUAGGCCCUUUCCGGGGCUUAGUGCCGCAGCUAACGCAUUAAGCACUCCGCCUGGGGAGUACGACCGCAAGGUUGAAACUCAAAGGAAUUGACGGGGGCCCGCACAAGCGGUGGAGCAUGUGGUUUAAUUCGA